rnacentral:rRNA from 1 species
CCCUGCCAUUUGUACACACCGCCCGUCGCUCCUACCGAUUGAAUGUGUUGGUGAGGAGUUCGGAUUGGCAGUUUGUGGUGGUUCGCCACUGCUUACAGCUGAGAAGUUCUCCAAACCGCCCCAUUUAGAGGAAG